AAAAAUCAGCCCAUUUCUUCCAUAGUGGUCAGCCAAACCAGAAGAGAAGAGAAACCAAGGAAGAACAAACCCUAGGUGGGAAAAAUCAAAGAGAAAGUGUUGGAAUUCAAGGAUUUGAUCAAGCAAAGGUAAAAUUUCUUUGAUUUUGCUAGUGAUUUACCUUACCCGUGCAUUUCUCCUUAUUUGCCAUGGUUAAAUUACAUGUUUUCAUGAUGAAUUCAUGGCUGGUCAAAAUGGGUAAGGAGAGAGAAAGAUGUUGGAUUGAUUUGAUUUUAAGAUAUGUUAGUGUUUUUAGUUAGUUUAGCAUAUUUAAAAGCAAAACAACAAGAAAGGAAUCCAUUUUUCCCAUGAAUCUUCAUGGCCAAAUCUUCCUUGAUGUGUGUGGGUGAUGGAUUGUUAUUAUUUCAAGAGAAAUGGCUUAGAUAAUGAUGAAUAAUGGUGAGAAAAUUAAGUAGGAAAAAGCACGGUGUUAGUGCACUGUAAUGGUCGAAUUUUUCCAUGAAGAAAUGGGAAACUUUUGAUGCUGAAAUUGGUGUUAUUUGAAUAAUGUUUGGUGAAUUGAGGUAUUAGAAAUGAAAUGGAGCAAUUUGGAGCCAAAUCGGACACAAUUGUCAUUUAAUCGGGUAAUAGGCCGAAUUAGGUCAGCACCGCAUUUAAGAGAUAGUCAGAUAAGUUGCAUAUCAUAUCAUGCAUAUUGUAAAACCUGACCCUAUAAACACAUGUCAUGACAUACAUGUACUGAGUAGCAUGUUAUUACGCUAGGAAAGUCCCUAAAAUAGACGAAACUCGAUAUUGUACCUAACGGUACACUUGAGUUGAUUUAACCUCGAACUAGUUCAAAUAGGAAUCGUAGGAUGAAAUUUAAUAUUUUACAGUCCAGGAAUGACUAAAAAUGAUUGUUCGGAGUUCGAGGGUUCAUUUGGGAAAAAAUUAAAAAUUUUGAUGUUCAGGGGUAAAAUCGUCAUUUUGCCACUUAAGAUAAUAAUUUGAUCAUGGAGUGAAAUUUUUGACCAAGAUUAACUAUUUGGAGUAUAAUUUAAUGAUAGAAAAUGAAAACAUUUCAAUUUCGGUAAUUUUCGAAACAUAGGGGCAAAACGGUAAUUUUAUCGCCUCGGGGUAAAAAAUCGUAAUUUUCACCACCCAAAACUUGUCAAAAUCAUAGGAUUUACUUAUUUUUGGUAUGAAUAACUAUGGUAUGUUAAGUGGUGAAAUUGAAGUUUAAAGGACGAAAUUUUAAAAACCGACCAAUGAGAAAGUGACACAUGGCACUUUUUAAUUGUUUAAUAUUAUUUUAAAGGAAAAUCAGCCCAUUUAAACCCCACAUCAGGUGAUGGCCGGCUAUAAGGAGAGAACAAGAGAGAAAAUAGAGAGGAAAGGAAGAAAAGAGAAAAACCAAAGGAAAACUAGAAAAUUCAAAGGGGAAAUCGCGUUUUUUGUCCGUUUACGCGUCUAACGGUAAGAUUUUUUGACUUUAGCUUGAUUUCUAACUUUCUUAUGCCUUUGUUUCCAUUUAGCAUGCUUGAGGAGAGAGAUCAAGAAGUGAUACCAAGGGCUGGCCGAAUUUCAAGGGGGAGAAAUUUGAAAUUCUUAUGUUUUGAUUUUUAGUUAAAUUGAUAGUUUUAGUUAGUUAAAUGUGUAUAGAAAUCAAAUUGGGCAAAAAAGCAUGAAAUUUUCACAAUACCCACCCUUGGUUCAAUAUUCAAUGAUGUACAAUGAUGAUGAACUGAUUUUUAUUCUAAGAGAAAUGAAGAGAAAAUGAUGAAAAAUGGUUAAAUAUGAUAGAAAAACAAAGUGGAAAAUUUACCUAGUUAAUGUCCCAUUUUUGACCGAAUUUUUCAAGGAGGAAAGUGAGCUGAUUUUGAUAAUUUUAGAAGGUUAUUGGCUGAUAUUUAAUGGUUAGAAAUGUUGGAGAGAAAAUGGGAGAAGUUAGAGCUAAAAUUGUCACGACCCGGUACUCCCCUCGAGCCCAUGACAAUCGCCGCGACGUCCCGAUGGACACUCAUUAUCCGGAAUGCCAACCGGAACCCCGCAAGGCUUACAUAUCAGUUUCUUUCCUUUCCUGUGAACAAUCAUUGUUAAAUAUCGAGUUUUUAGAGAAUAUAUACUAUUUUAGAUCAAAAAUAAUCAAAAUAAAAUUUUCGCCACACAGGGGUAUUUUGGUCAUUUUUUUCUCAAAAAUUUCGAAACUGGCUAAAACGUAAUAUACAAGUACAAAACACAUAAUUCAUAUUCAAAAUGAGUUUAAAAGUCUAAAAUCUUCAUUUAAAACGAAAUUACGGUUAUUUGAAUAUAAUAAGAAAAUAAAAGAAAUAUUAAGGAAAAUAUUCUAUUUUCUUAUAAAACAAUAUUUAUAGAGUUAUACGUGAAUAAUUUUUAUAGCGUAAAAGCUAAAUAAAUUUAUACAUACUGAAAUACAGUAAGCCAAAAUAUUUAAUUUAAUUUACAAUAACAAGAGGGCCCCCGAAUAAACAAAAGUAAAGAGGACUGUGAACCUACGGUUUGGAAAAUGCAGAUCCAAUGGUAGUCCUCGAUGAGAUCAGCUAUCUACAGUCUAUACUGAACCUGAAAUGGGUGGAAAGGAGUUGGGUGAGAUUUUGCAAUCCCAAUGAGUAAACAGACAUUAUCAUAAAUAUCUAAAGGCGAGUAAAAUGGAGGCAAGUUUAAACAACAAAUUUCAACCCAUUUCAUAAUGUUUUCAAUUUAUUUCUUAAACCAUAAAAUAUUUGUAAUUUACCAAAACAGUUGUUAAGGCUUAUGUCUUUUAUUAAAACAAGGCUCAAGCCAAAACUAAUCCUCGGGGAUACCUUGGCCGAGGCAUCUAACCGAGUCCGCCAAGGGUGUUAAAAUAUUCACACGUGAAACACAUUUUUAUUUUUAAAACCAGCCGUUCCUUGGCGUUGGCCGAGUUACACAUUCACGUGGGGGUUCGACGUGAAGUGAGCUCUAAUACUACCCCAGGAGUUACCCUCCUCGCCUCUACAACCGGAGUAACUAUAUAACUGGGUUUACCGUGCCCCUCUAAUAGGCAGUCCACGGAAACCCGUCACUGCAGUGACUAACCCACCAAUUUUAAUAAAAUUUCGACAGUAUAACGUGGCUUUUAUUUAUUUAUCCAGCCUGCAUAGUAAAACAACUUACAUAAAUUUCCCAAUGCAUUCACAAAAUAUAGCCACAUAUACUCAUUUCUCAUAAGCCAUUCCUAGGAAAAUAUAUAUUUUUCAAGUCAAUUUGUAGCCUCCAAUUACUCAAUUUCAUAAUCAAUACAAUAUAUUUUUAUUUGUCACAUUUAUUCCUAAAACAUCAAAAAUCCCGUUUUAAUCUCGUUUUCAUUUCAUAAAAUACAUAAAGGGCAUUUAAAAAUAAACUCUAGAUAAUUUACAAUAAUAAUAAGUUUACUCACCGUUUGUACAAACUAAAAGCUUUCUAAGCGCCCCGAUCACUACUCGUCGGGUACGACUUCUUUGCCUUUUCCGGAAGGCUCUCCUCCUAGACACAUUACAAAAAUUUACACAAUUCAUCACAUUGAUGCUAAAUCACUAUAUAAUUAACUUAAAUCCUAUACUAAUGCAUGGUAUGAAAUGCAAUAGCCUAAAACGGCUUAAACGCGGUAUUAACCUAUUUUUGGCACUUUGCCCGAUAAAUUGCUAACGCGCUCCAUUUUAGCUCUAAAUCAUCCCAUUCUCUCUCCAACAUUUCUAACCAUUAAAUAUCAGCCAAUAACCUUCUAAAAACAACAAAAUCAGCUCACUCCCUUCCUUGGAAAAUUCGGCCAAAAAUGGGACAUUAACUCGGUUAAUUUUCUACUUUGUUUUUCUAUCACGUUUAAUCGUUUUUCAUCAUUUUCUCUUCAUUUUCCUUAGAAUAAAAUCAAUUCAUCAUCAUUGUACAGCAUUGAGCAUCCAGCCAAGAGUGGGUAUUGUGAAAAUUUAAUGAUUUCUUGCCCAAUUUAAUUUCUAAACACAUUUAACUAACUAAAACUAUCAAUUUAACUAAAAAUCAAAACCUAAAAAUUUCAAUUUCUCUCCCCUAGAAUUUCGUCCAGCCCUUGAUAUCACUUUUUGAUCUCUCUCCUCAAGCAUGCUAAAUGGAAAUAAAGGCAUAGGAAAGGUAGAAAUCAAGCUAAAAUCGAAAAAUCUUACCGUUAGACGCGUAAACGGUCGAAAACCGCGAAUUUCCCUUUGAAUUUUCUUGUUUCUCUUUGGUUUUUCUUUUUUUCUUCCUUUCCUCUCUAUUUCCUCUCUUUUUCUUCCUUAUGGCCGGCCAGCACUCAAAAUUUGGGUUUAAAUGGCUGACUUUUCAUUAAAAUAAUAUUAUUUCAUUAAAAAAUGCCACGUGUCACUUUCCCAUUGGCCCAUUUUUAAAAUUUCAUCCAUUUGUUUCCAAAUUUUCACCAUACACUUGUCUCAUAUAUUCAUAGCUUAGAUAAAAUUCUCAGACUCAUCCAAAGUCUCGGUGGAGUAAUUUUUGAAAUUUACACUUUUGCCCCCGUAAAAGUCAAAAAUUACAUUUUUGCCCCAAAAAUUGAAAAAUUGCCCAUAGACAUAUUUUUCAUCCCUUAUACUCAUACCAUUCUCCAAUUUGUCAAAUUUGAUCUAAAUUCUCUCAAAAUCUCAAAUUUUGUCCGUGGGUGGCAAAAUUACGAUUUUGCCCCUACACUCCAAAAAUCACCAGAAUUAAACUUUUUCACUUCCUAUCAUUAAAUUAUACUCCAAAUAGUUAAUCUUGGUCAAAAAUUUCACUCCAUGAUCAAAUUAUUAUCUUAGGUGGCAAAAUGACGAUUUUGCCCUUGAAUAUCAAAAUUUCUAAUUUUACCCCAAAUGAACCCUCGAACUCCGAACAAUCAUUUUUAGUCAUUCCUGGACUAUAAAAUAUUAAAUUUCAUCCUACAAUUCCUAUUUGAACUAGUUCGAGGUUAAAUCAAUUUAAGUGUACCGUUAGGUACAAUAUCAGGUUUCGUCUAUUCUUAGGUGCUUUUCUAGCGUAAUAACAUGCUACUCAAUGCAUGUAUGUCAUGACAUGUAUUUAUAGGGUCGGGUUUUACAAUUCUACCCCCCUUAAAAUAAAAUUUUGACCUCAAAAUUUCACUUACCAGAUUCGACAAAUAGAUGCGGGUAUUGGUUCCUCAUCUGAUGCUCUACUUCCCAUGUCAUUUCCUCCAUUCGAGCACUUUUCCACAACACUUUGACCAUUGAAAUACUCUUGUUUCUCAGUACUCGAUCCUUUCGAUCCAAGAUACUCACAGGUUGUACCUCGAACUUCAAAUCGUCAUGCAACUCGAUCGGAGGUGCUUCGAGGACGUGAGAGGGAUCUGGUACAUAUUUCUUAAGCAUGGAGACAUGGAAAACGUUGUGGAUCCGAUCUAACUCCGGAGGUAAUUCUAACCGAUAAGCCACUGGUCCAAUCCUUUCAAUGAUUCGGAAUGGUCCAAUAUAUCUCGGGUUGAGCUUUCCCCUCUUCGCAAAUCGAAUCACACCUUUCAUUAUCCAAUAAAACACCAUAAUUUAUCAUGAUAGUAUAAUCAAUAAGAUUUAAUACUUCAAAGUAUUCAAAUUAUUACCUUUCCAAGGAGAAACCUUAAGAAAAACUUUAUCAUCGAUCUCAAACUCCAAGUCUUUUCUCCGUUUAUCUGCAUAGCUCUUCUGCCUAUCCUGGGCUACCUUUAGCCUCUCUCGUAUAACCUUGAUCUUGUCAUUAGUUAGCUCGAUCAAUUCCACACUCACUAACUUUCUUUCACCCACUUCAUCCCAACAAAGUGGAGUACGACAUUUCCUUCCAUAUAAAGCUUCGUAUGGUGCCAUACCAAUGCUAGACUGAAAGCUAUUGUUGUAAGCAAAUUCCACCAAUGGCAAAUGUCUGUCCCAACUCCCAAUAAAGUCAAUGACACAAGCCCGUAACAUAUCCUCCAAGGUCUGGAUAGUCCUCUCUGACUGACCAUCCGUCUGUGGGUGAAAAGCAGUGCUAAAUUUCAAUUUGGUUCCGAGAGCUUCUUGAAAUUUUGGCCAGAAUCGAGAAGUGAAUCGAGGAUCUCGGUCUGACACUAUAGAAACGGGAACUCCAUGUAGCCUCACAAUCUCAUCUAUAUAGAGCUGAGCCAGCUUCUCAAUAGAGUAUGUACUAUGGACAGCUAAAAAGUGAGCGGACUUAGUCAACCGAUCUACGAUCACCCAGAUCGCAUCCUUUCCCCUCUGUGUCCGCGGCAAUCCCAAAACAAAAUCCAUAGUUACAUGCUCCCAUUUCCACUCGGGAACAGGUAAAGACUGAAGUGUACCUGCUGGCCUCUGAUGCUCCGCCUUAACUUGCUGACAUACGAGACACUUUGCUACGAAUUCUGCUACGUCUCGCUUCAUACCCGGCCACCAAUAAUUCUCCCUGAUAGUCCUAUACAUCUUGGUGCUUCCGGGAUGUAAUGCAUAGGCAGAUGAAUGGGCUUCUUCCAUGAUCGCCUGUCUCAACUGGUUUCCCUCAGGAACACAAACUCGAUCUUUAAACAUCAAGACGUUAUCCUCUCCAAAUCUGAACUCACUGACUCCCCCAUCGGUCAGUUUUUGAAUUUCUUUUCUUAACUCAUCAUCAGACCUCUGAAUGUCCUUGAUCUGAUUAAGUAACGAAGGUCGCACAAUGAAGUUUGCCAAUAAGGAUCCAUCCUCACCAUUUCUCAACUGGACCCCAAGAGAUUUCAUCUCUAUUAAUGCUGGAAAAUAACAACUCUGAAGUGCUGCUAAAGACGAUGAAGACUUACGACUUAAGGCAUCAGCUACAACGUUCGCCUUUCCCGGAUGAUAGUCUAUCACCAAGUCAUAAUCUUUUAUCAACUCCAACCAUCGCCUUUGCCUCAAAUUAAGCUCCUUUUGGGUGAGCAAAUAUUUUAAACUCUUGUGAUCCGUAAAUAUCCGACAAUGCUCACCAUACAAGUAAUGCCUCCAGAUUUUUAAAGCAAACACCACUGCUGCUAACUCUAAAUCAUGGGUAGGGUAAUUUGCUUCAUGCCUCUUUAGCUGUCUAGAAGCAUAAGCCACAACUUUUUCAUCCUGCAUCAAUACGCACCCCAACCCCAACUUUGAGGCAUCACUAUAUACUACAAAUCCCUUACCAUUAACAGGAAGUGUUAAAACGGGAGCGGAGGUUAACCGGUUCUUUAGCUCCUGAAAUCGAUUCUCACAAACAUCAUCCCACACAAACUUAACUCCCUUACGAGUUAGACGGGUCAAAGGAGCUGCUAUUAAGGAAAACCCCUGAACAAACCUCCGAUAAUAACCGGCUAAUCCGAGGAAACUACGAAUCUCCGUCACUGUCUUAGGUUGCUCCCAUUGUAAAAUUGCCUCUACUUUCUUAGGAUCAACAUAUAUUCCAGUUCUCGAUACUACGUGUCCCAAGAAUACCACUUCCUGUAACCAAAACUCACACUUCGAAAACUUUGCAUACAACUGUCUUUCCCUCAAAGUUUGUAAUACUAUACGCAAGUGGGCAGCGUGCUCAUCAUUAUCUCUCGAGUAAACCAGUAUGUCAUCAAUGAACACAAUAACAAACUUGUCCAAGUAAGGGUGGAACACCCUAUUCAUGAGAUCCAUAAAAGCUGCCGGUGCGUUAGUUAACCCGAAAGGCAUGACCAAGAACUCAUAAUGACCGUACCGAGUCCUGAACGCUGUCUUGGGUACAUCCUGUUCUUUAAUCCUCAACUGAUGAUACCCAGACCUUAGAUCAACCUUGGAAAACACUGUAGCUCCCUGUAAUUGAUCGAAAAGAUCAUCAAUCCUCGGUAACGGAUACUUGUUCUUAAUGGUCAUUCUGUUAAGCUGUCGGUAAUCGAUACAUAACCGAAGUGUACCGUCUUUCUUUUUCACAAAUAAAACCGGUGCUCCCCAUGGAGAUAUACUAGGGCGUAUAAAACCCUUGUCCACCAACUCUUGCAAUUGUACUUUCAACUCCUUCAACUCUGCCGGAGCCAUUCUAUAUGGAGGGAUAGAAAUAGGUGCGGUACCCGGAAGUAAAUCAAUAGGGAACUCAAGCUCUCGAUCAGGAGGCAGUCCCGGUAAAUCAUCAGGAAAUACAUCAGGAAACUCACUUACUAUCGGGACAUCCUCUAACUUAGGUUCCCCCUUUGAAGUAUCAAUCACGUAUGCCAAAUAAGUCGGAUACCCUUUCUGCACUAAUUUCGAAGCUUUGAUGGCCGAGAUUACACAGGACGGUAAUACUCGACGUUUCCCUACAAACACAAUCUCUGCUCCCUCCGAAUUUCGAAGAACAACUUCCUUUCGGAAACAAUCCACGUUCGCCCGAUGUGCAGUUAACCAGUCCAUACCCAAUAUUAGAUCAAAAUCCAGGAUCUCUAGAGGAAUUAAGUCACCCCUAAAUUCUUCCUCGCCUACCCUUACCCCACAGUCUCUAUAACAACUGUUUCUAACUAGCUUUUCUCCUAAAGGGGUGUGAAUUACAAUUUCUUCCUCUAAUGGUGACAAGUUUCUAUCAGCAAUUGAUGCAAAUGUGGUGCUCACAUAAGACCUAUCUGAGCCAGAAUCUAUCAAAACAUAAGCAUCUUUAUCAAAUAAAGACAUAGUACCUGUCACUGCUCCAGGUCGGACCUGUGCCUCAUCUUCCGUCACAGCGAAAACUCUUGUCGAGGUACGAGUCUGUGGUCUCGAAGGUGGAUGUGCCGGGGUAUUACUCUCCACACCGGACCGUAUGGCCACUCCCUGUCUCGGUGGCAACCCAGAAGAAUCUCUCCUCUGUAUAUCAGUGCGAGCUGGUGAAGAUGAUGCAACUACCGUGGCUCGUCCUAACCGUGGGCAAUUACUCCUAAUAUGACCCGUCUGUCCACAUUGGAAACAUCUUGUUGGCUCUCUACAUAGCCCACUAUGAUAAUUCCCACAAUUUCUGCAUCUGUCAGAACCUCCGAAACUCUUCCCAGAACCAGUCAUAGCAGAUCUGCUAAACCUCGAAGGUCUCUGUUGUGAUGGUGGAAAUGGAGGUCGAGGAGAUGUCACGGAAACAGAAGUAGUACUCCCUGAAAUCGCUGAGUCCUUGCCUCUUUUUACUGGCUGACUAGAAGACAUACCAGGAUUCCUCCUUUUUGCAAACUCAGUCCGAAUCCUCCUAUUCUCAGUCGCGAGCUUCUCAGCUCGUAAAGCCAUCUGUACCACCUCCUUAUGCGGCUCCCUACCAGUCACUGUCAUCCGCUCUCUAAUCUCAUUACGGAGCCCUUCCUCGAAAUAACUGGCCUGAUCCUGCUCAGAUUUCACCAGAUCCGGCACAUAUAACAUCAACUCGUUAAAACGAGUCUCGUACUCCUCUACAGUUAGAUUCCCCUGUUUCAAACUCAAAAAUUCUCUCUUCUUUUCUUUCUGAUGAAAAUAAGUGAAAUACUGACCAUCGAACUCCCUGAGAAAAUCGGACCACGUCUGAGGAGUAGUGGAACGGGACUUCACUGAAUUCCACCAAGUACGAGCCCUCUUCUCUAAUAAUCUCGUAGCCACCAUCAGCUUCAUGUCGUCGUCUAAUCUCAUAUCAGAGAGAGUCUCUGAAACCUGAUUAAUCCAGUCCUUUGCCACAGUGGCAUCCAACUCACCCGUGAAAGACACACAACCGAGCUGUCUAGCCUCCUUUAGCUUCUUGGAAAUGGAUACAUCUUGUACCGGUGGUGGAACUAAAGGAGUAACUGGUGGUACUAUAGGUGGAACUUGACCAGUCGGAGCUCCACCAGCCAUUGCGGUAAAGAAAGCUGCCAAUGCCUGUGCUGCCUCAGUAGGCAUGGUGGGAAUACCCGUAGGUGGCGGAGGAGGUGGAGGAUGUGGAGGACUAUCGGCCUGCUCAGCAGUAGGUGCUGCCCGAAUGGUAGACGCAGCCGAUUCUUCCCCUACUGCAUCUAGCUGACGACGUUGGGAACGACCUUUUCCCCUCCCAACCGAUCUAGUGAGAGGUGGGCGUCCGCGUCGAGGAGGCAUAAUAAUCUAUAAGAGAAAACGAGCAAGCUUAGGGAACCUUAGGCUCUAUAUGAAAAUGCAUGCAUUCUAUUCAACCUAACUUAACUUAAUCCGGGGCCACACUGAUAUUGUAAUUUUUUAAAACCACUUUAAAACCAAAAACUCUUAUCUUUAAAACCAAAAGCUCUGAUACCAAUAGAAUUGUCACGACCCGGAACCUCCCUCAGGCCCAUGACAAUCGCCGCGACGUCCCGAUUGACACUCAUUAUCCGGAAUGCCAACCGGAACCCCGCAAGGCUUACAUAUCAGUUUCUUUCCUUUCCUGUGAGCAAUCAUUGUUAAAUAUCGAGUUUUUAGAGAAUAUAUACUAUUUUAGAUCAAAAACAAUCAAAAUAAAAUUUUCGCCACACAGGGGUAUUUUGGUCAUUUUUUUCUCAAAAAUUUCGAAACUGGCUAAAACGUAAUAUACAAGUACAAAACACAUAAUUCAUAUUCAAAAUGAGUUUAAAAGUCUAAAAUCUUCAUUUAAAACGAAAUUACGGUUAUUUGAAUAUAAUAAGAAAAUAAAAGAAAUAUUAAGGAAAAUAUUCUAUUUUCUUAUAAAACAAUAUUUAUAGAGUUAUACGUGAAUAAUUUUUAUAGCGUAAAAGCUAAAUAAAUUUAUACAUACUGAAAUACAGUAAGCCAAAAUAUUUAAUUUAAUUUACAAUAACAAGAGGGCCCCCGAAUAAACAAAAGUAAAGAGGACUGUGAACCUACGGUUUGGAAAAUGCAGAUCCAAUGGUAGUCCUCGAUGAGAUCAGCUAUCUACAGUCUAUACUGAACCUGAAAUGGGUGGAAAGGAGUUGGGUGAGAUUUUGCAAUCCCAAUGAGUAAACAGACAUUAUCAUAAAUAUCUAAAGGCGAGUAAAAUGGAGGCAAGUUUAAACAACAAAUUUCAACCCAUUUCAUAAUGUUUUCAAUUUAUUUCUUAAACCAUAAAAUAUUUGUAAUUUACCAAAACAGUUGUUAAGGCUUAUGUCUUUUAUUAAAACAAGGCUCAAGCCAAAACUAAUCCUCGGGGAUACCUUGGCCGAGGCAUCUAACCGAGUCCGCCAAGGGUGUUAAAAUAUUCACACGUGAAACACAUUUUUAUUUUUAAAACCAGCCGUUCCUUGGCGUUGGCCGAGUUACACAUUCACGUGGGGGUUCGACGUGAAGUGAGCUCUAAUACUACCCCAGGAGUUACCCUCCUCGCCUCUACAACCGGAGUAACUAUAUAACUGGGUUUACCGUGCCCCUCUAAUAGGCAGUCCACGGAAACCCGUCACUGCAGUGACUAACCCACCAAUUUUAAUAAAAUUUCGACAGUAUAACGUGGCUUUUAUUUAUUUAUCCAGCCUGCAUAGUAAAAACAACUUACAUAAAUUUCCCAAUGCACUCACAAAAUAUAGCCACAUAUACUCAUUUCUCAUAAGCCAUUCCUAGGAAAAUAUAUAUUUUUCAAGUCAAUUUGCAGCCUCCAAUUACUCAAUUUCAUAAUCAAUACAAUAUAUUUUUAUUUGUCACAUUUAUUCCUAAAACAUCAAAAAUCCCGUUUUAAUCUCGUUUUCAUUUCAUAAAAUACAUAAAGGGCAUUUAAAAAUAAACUCUAGAUAAUUUACAAUAAUAAUAAGUUUACUCACCGUUUGUACAAACUAAAAGCUUUCUAAGCGCCCCGAUCACUACUCGUCGGGUACGACUUCUUUGCCUUUUCCGGAAGGCUCUCCUCCUAGACACAUUACAAAAAUUUACACAAUUCAUCACAUUGAUGCUAAAUCACUAUAUAAUUAACUUAAAUCCUAUACUAAUGCAUGGUAUGAAAUGCAAUAGCCUAAAACGGCUUAAACGCGGUAUUAACCUAUUUUUGGCACUUUGCCCGAUAAAUUGCUAACGCGCUCCAUUUUAGCUCUAAAUCAUCCCAUUCUCUCUCCAACAUUUCUAACCAUUAAAUAUCAGCCAAUAACCUUCUAAAAACAACAAAAUCAGCUCACUCCCUUCCUUGGAAAAUUCGGCCAAAAAUGGGACAUUAACUCGGUUAAUUUUCUACUUUGUUUUUCUAUCACGUUUAAUCGUUUUUCAUCAUUUUCUCUUCAUUUUCCUUAGAAUAAAAUCAAUUCAUCAUCAUUGUACAGCAUUGAGCAUCCAGCCAAGAGUGGGUAUUGUGAAAAUUUAAUGAUUUCUUGCCCAAUUUAAUUUCUAAACACAUUUAACUAACUAAAACUAUCAAUUUAACUAAAAAUCAAAACCUAAAAAUUUCAAUUUCUCUCCCCUAGAAUUUCGUCCAGCCCUUGAUAUCACUUUUUGAUCUCUCUCCUCAAGCAUGCUAAAUGGAAAUAAAGGCAUAGGAAAGGUAGAAAUCAAGCUAAAAUCGAAAAAUCUUACCGUUAGACGCGUAAACGGUCGAAAACCGCGAAUUUCCCUUUGAAUUUUCUUGUUUCUCUUUGGUUUUUCUUUUUUUCUUCCUUUCCUCUCUAUUUCCUCUCUUUUUCUUCCUUAUGGCCGGCCAGCACUCAAAAUUUGGGUUUAAAUGGCUGACUUUUCAUUAAAAUAAUAUUAUUUCAUUAAAAAAUGCCACGUGUCACUUUCCCAUUGGCCCAUUUUUAAAAUUUCAUCCAUUUGUUUCCAAAUUUUCACCAUACACUUGUCUCAUAUAUUCAUAGCUUAGAUAAAAUUCUCAGACUCAUCCAAAGUCUCGGUGGAGUAAUUUUUGAAAUUUACACUUUUGCCCCCGUAAAAGUCAAAAAUUACAUUUUUGCCCCAAAAAUUGAAAAAUUGCCCAUAGACAUAUUUUUCAUCCCUUAUACUCAUACCAUUCUCCAAUUUGUCAAAUUUGAUCUAAAUUCUCUCAAAAUCUCAAAUUUUGUCCGUGGGUGGCAAAAUUACGAUUUUGCCCCUACACUCCAAAAAUCACCAGAAUUAAACUUUUUCACUUCCUAUCAUUAAAUUAUACUCCAAAUAGUUAAUCUUGGUCAAAAAUUUCACUCCAUGAUCAAAUUAUUAUCUUAGGUGGCAAAAUGACGAUUUUGCCCUUGAACAUCAAAAUUUCCAAUUUUACCCCAAAUGAACCCUCGAACUCCGAACAAUCAUUUUUUUCAUUCCUGGACUAUAAAAUAUUAAAUUUCAUCCUACAAUUCCUAUUUGAACUAGUUCGAGGUUAAAUCAACUCAAGUGUACCGUUAGGUACGAUAUCGGGUUUCGUCUUUUCUUAUGUGCUUUCCUAGCAUAAUAACAUACUACUCAGUGCAUGUAUGUCAUGACAUGUAUUUAUAGGGUUGGGUUUUACAAAAAUGGAGCGCGCUAGCAAUUUAUCAGGUAAAGUGCCAAAAAUAGGUUAAUACUGCGUUUAAGCCAUUUUAGGCUAUUGCAUUUCAUACCAUGCAUUAGUAUAGGAUUUAAGUCAAUUAUAUAGUGAUUUAGCAUCAAUGUGGUGAAUUGGGUAAUUUUUGCAAUGUGUAUAGGAGGAGAGCCUUCCGGUAAAGGCAAGAAAGUCGUACCCAACGAACAGUAAUCGAGGCACUUAGAAAGCAUUUAAUUUGUACAAACGGUGAGUAAACCUAUUAUUAUUGUAAAUUAUCUAGAGUUUAUUUUUAAAUGAUCUUUAUGUAUUUUAUGAAACGAAAAUGAGAUUAAAAUGGGACUUUUGAUGUUUUAGAAAUAAAUGUGCCAAAUAAAUUCAUUGUGUUGAUUAUCUGAAAUAAAAAACUUUUAAUCAUGAAAUUGAGUAAUUAGAGGUUGCCAAUUGUCUUGAAAAAUAUAUUUUCCUAUGAAUGGCUUAUGAUAUAUGAGUAUAUAUGUGGCUAUAUUUGAUAAUUGCAUUGGAAAUUUAUGUAAGCUGUCUUUUACUAUGCAGGUUGGGUAAAUAAAUAAAAGCCACGUUAUACUGUCGAAAUUUUAUUAAAGUUGUGGGUUUAGUCACUACAGUGAUGGAUUUCCAUGGAUUGCCUAUUAGAGGGGCACAGUAAACUCGGUUAUAUAGUUACUCCAGUAGUAGAGGCGAGAAGGGUAACUCCCGGGGUAGUGUUAAAGCUCACUUCACGUCGAACCCCCACGUGAAUGUGUAACUCGACCAACGCCAAGGAACAGCUUGUUUUCAAAACUAACAUGUGUUUAACAUGUAAAUAUCUUAACAACCUUGGUGGACUCGGUUAGAUGCCUCGGCCAAGGUAUCCCCGAGGAUUAGUUUUUUGCUUGAGCCCUGUUUUUAAUAAAAGUCAUAAGCCUUAACAACUGUUUUGUUAAAUUACAAAUAUUCUAUGGUUUAAGAAAUGAAUUGAAAACCUUAUGAAAUGGUUUGUGAUUUGUUGUUUAAACUAGCCUCCAUUUUACUCCCCUUUAGAUAUUUAUAAUAAUAUCUGUUUACUCAUUAGGAUUGUAAAAUCUCACCCACCUCCUUUCCAAAUAUUUCAGGCCUGUGGUAGCUUGUAGAUACCCGAUUUUGUCGAGGAUUUCAGUUGACCUCUCUAUCUCACAGACAGUAGGUUACUAUCACUAACGCUUGGUGUAGUUACGGGCCACUUGUCAUUGUAAUUAUUAUUGUACAUUAUAACUUUGUAAAUUAUUGUAUGUAUGAAUUUAUUUUACUUACACGUGUCUCUAUAAAUAUUGUUUUAUAUAAAAAUGCUAUAUUUUAGUCAAUAUUUUGAUUAGUAAUAUUUGUCUAUAAAUCCUUUUAAAAUAAUUUUGUCUUUUGAUUUACUUGAGCCGGAAACGACUGAAAAUUGUUUAAAACUGAUAUAUAAGCCAUGUGGGGUUCUGAUUGGUAUUCCGAGUAAUGAGUAUCAAUCGGGACGUCGCGAUGGUUGUCAUGGGCUCGAGGGAGGUUUCGGGUCGUGACACAUAUACACCGAGCCUAAAUUGAUUUUAUAAUGGUCAAGCAUUAAUGUGGUGAAUUAUGUAUUGUACAUUGUGGAUAGGUGGUGAGUAAAUUACACUAGUAAAAGUACAGAGAUUGUGCUUGAAGACUGGGAUUAGGAGUACAUCGACUCCUAGAACUGUGAGUAAACUUAUUAUCGUCUUAAUUAUCUAUAGUAGUUUUAUACAAUUGUGUGAUUUUAUAGAAAAUGGGUUUAAAUGGUAAAUUGCUACGUUUUAGGAAAAAUUGUGAUUUUAUAAAAUGAUUUUAUAAAUUUUUUGGAAAAUUGAAUACUGGCUUUGAAAAUAAAGUAAUUGGAGACUGUCUGCUUGUGUUAUAAAUUGUGUUUUAAAUUAUAUGGCUUAUAGCAAUAUGUGAGCAUGAAUGACAAAGUCGGUGUUCAUAUCAAAAUUAUAUAUACUAUGUAUUCAGCCUUGAGAGGCUAGAUUGCGAUAAAUUGUCGUGUCAUGCAGAUAAGGAUUUUAUAAAUCAGGUGGUAG
rnacentral:lncRNA from 1 species